GUACAGCCAAUUAGAUGGCUUGAAUUUGUAUUUUUUCAUUUUAUAUUUUUGAAAUUAUUCAUCCUUAAAGUGUAUAAUUUCUCCUGAUUGCAAUGUUUGUAGAAGUGUGUGACAUCCUUAGAGUGAUUUAGAAGCUUAGCACAGUUCACACUGCUUCAGGAAAGCUGAAGAAUAAGGUUGUAAGAAAUAAACUGAGUGGAGCACCAGAAGCAGUAAUUAGAAGGUUGGCAUGCAACUAAGUUGUGAAAAUCCUGUCUGAUAAUAACUAAUUCAAUCUGUAGAUAAUUAUCUGCAUAUUUCCCAGAAUUCACUGAAUAAAAUGCUGAGCCCAAAUUGCUCUUUAGUAUAAAUUCAUUAAAAGCAGGAAAGUUUUAGAGAUAUUCAAAAUAGAAAUAGUUGAGGGACCAAGAAUUUAUCAGUUUAGGCUUUCCCUGUUCCAUGCAGAUCAUUUGGAGUUGAAGUCCUUAAUUAAGGAAUAUGUCAGAUGAGUAUUUUGUAAUUUCCUUAUGCUUCUAGGACAUUUUUGUACCUUGGUUGGCACAACUUUUAGUUAUAGUUAAAUCCAUAUAUAUUCAUCUUCUUCACUAGACUCGAAAAUCCCUUAUGCCAAGGAAUCUCACAGAAGAAUUCUGAUCCUCUUUUGUUUCCAGUUCAGGGCGUUCAGGUGGUUGACUCAGAGUGGACAGUAGAUGAUUACUUGCAGGGAGCCUGAAGAACACUCUUUGUGGCUGUGUGAGGGAUGGACUCAGCUCCAGUGACUUCCGAUGGGCAAAGAUGGUGAGGGUACAGAAGGAGAGUCCUUGGGAGGCAUGGAGAGAGCGUCAUUCCACAGCUCCCCAUGGAGCCAGCUCUGCUCUUUGCUUCCCUCCCCAUAGGUUAUGACACAAUUAAAAAUUCUGCAUUGUCAACUUGCAGCGUGGAUGAGGCCUAGAGGCCUGGGAGGAGGCCCUCUGUGGGGCCCUUCAAACAUGCCCAGCAGGAGAAUUUACUGAACCAUGAAAUCGCAUAUAAAAUCUUCCUACAUUUUCUUCCUGCAUGUGAUGGUUUGGAUGGAGACUGUCCCCCAUGAGGGAGGAGGGAGGACUCAGAAACUAGAAGCUGGUUCAGGGCAUGGUUCUUAAGGUCUGCUGUAGCAUCCUCAGCUCAGUGAAGUGAUUCCACGGAUGUACAGGGCAUGGAGGUGGGGAAGAGGAGAGGUCUAGAUACCUGAAGACAUGGCCCCUUUUCUAGACUGACCCCUGGAGGAGGUGGCAGCAUGUCACAGGGGGAGCUUCACUCCUUCAUCUUGGACGUCAUCUGCUGGCUUCCAGUGCAAGUCCCUCAGCCUUUUGGCACAGAUGUUUCAGCUUCCAGCACUGGCCCUUAGGCCUUCCCAGCACAGAUCCUUCAGUCUCCCAUCACGGAUCCUUCAGUCUCCUGAUAUGGACUUGCAUGGGACAUUGCCAUGGGCUCCAAGCCCUCCACUGGAUCCUUUGGGUCUCCAGCUUACAGACAGUUGUCUUGCACUCUCCUCCAUCUGACUCUGAUUGCAAGAUGGUAAGAAGAAAGUCCAGCUAUUCCUGGAGGAACGAAAGAGAAACAGUGCAAGCUAGAGUCUUGGGAGAGGUAAAGCUCCCAGCUCUCCUAGGCCGGGAUGGCGUUGUGAUGACUUCAGAGGACAGUGUGAGAGGCCACCCACCACACCUAUGUCACUGAAUGAGAAGUUCUGGAAACCUCCGGGCCUCUGUGUGAGAUUCUUCCUGGCAGACAGAGUGCUCUGGGGAUGGAGGGCUGUGGAGAUGGCAUGUUCUGCCACCUGGUGCCCUGAUUCUGCCCGUCCCACAGACAGUGGUGCACAGGGGUUGGUACCCACCUGGCAGAAAGGAGCAGGGAAGAGGUGCCCAGCUUAGAGAGGAUGCCACACUCCUGAGGCUGAACUUGUUGCAGAGAGAGAGGCUCUGGCGUGCUUGGCAGUAGCAGAGGCUGUGCUGGGGCUGCUUCUGGGUGAGGGACACACAGGAGGGUGGCAGCACCGUGUUCUGAAAAGCAGCAUCAAUCACAGCUAUGCCCUCUGACCACUCUCGAAAGUCAGCCUUGGACACAGUAGGUGUGCUCUAGGGAUUUUCUGGGAAGGGGAAUGUGGACACUGGGUUUGAAGCCAGUAUCUCAAACAUACGAAGUGCAGGCUUUCCCACUGGGUUACACCCCCAGCCCAAGACGAGCUUUCGAAGAGGGGAUUCUGGAGCUGGGAAGGAGCAGCACAUUCACUAAGCACAUUUCACAGGCUCUCUGGCUCAUCAGGUUGCAGACCAGACACACUCAAUAAAUACGUGAACUGUCCUUAGAGUAAACAGAAAAAUGAUGCUAGUUAUUCUGGGACUGGAGACAAGAAGAACAAGUCAGAUCUGAACAGAAAAUGAUAAAACCUGCCCUAGUCAAAGCCAAAACACAUCUGUGGGUCAUAUUCUAUUUCUCUAUAUCCUGUAUAACUUCUGUCUAGUGGGUAUGUCUGAUUCUGAAAUAAAUAUACUGGAAAUAUCUUAGUUA